UACGUAGGGUGCAAGCGUUGUCCGGAAUUAUUGGGCGUAAAGAGCUCGUAGGCGGCUUGUCGCGUCGGAUGUGAAAGCCCGGGGCUUAACUCCGGGUCUGCAUUCGAUACGGGCAGGCUAGAGUUCGGUAGGGGAGAUCGGAAUUCCUGGUGUAGCGGUGAAAUGCGCAGAUAUCAGGAGGAACACCGGUGGCGAAGGCGGAUCUCUGGGCCGAUACUGACGCUGAGAGACGAAAGCUAGGGGAGCAAAUGGG
rnacentral:rRNA from 1 species